GAUAGUGUGGCCGAGCGGUCAAUGGCGCUGGACUUAGAUUCCAGUCUCUAAAGAGGCGUGGGUUCCAAUCCCACCACUGCCA